rnacentral:rRNA from 1 species
CGAGCGCAACCCCUGCAUUCAGUUGCCAUCGGGUAAUGCCGGGCACUCUGGAAGGACUGCCAUCGACAAGAUGGAGGAAGGUGGGGAUGACGUCAAGUCAUCAUGGCCCUUAUGUCCAGGGCGACACACGUGCUACAAUGGCCGGCACAACGGGAAGCGAGUUCGCGAGGACGAGCGGAUCCCUCAAAGCCGGUCGCAGUUCGGAUUGAAGUCUGCAACUCGACUUCAUGAAGCUGGAAUCGCUAGUAAUCGUGGAUCAGCCAAGCCGCGGUGAAUACGUUCCCGGGCCUU